rnacentral:lncRNA from 1 species
CAGAAGUUGGUCUUUCCUCCAGGAGUCCACUUGAUCAUUGCCAACUCAAGUGCAGCCCCAAGGAUGAAGAACACUGGCAUAAUGCAGUAGGGGCCA